rnacentral:lncRNA from 1 species
UGUUUUAGAGCGUGGAGAUGACAAAUUACACUUGCAUUUCACUUAACAGGAUUCAACUAUAUGUGUCCAGAAAAAGGAAAGAUGAAGUGAAAGAAUGAAGAAAAAAAUGGUACACUACUGAAGAACACCAAGAAGAAAAGUUCAUCCAACAAAAACAACGUUUUGAUGUCUGUCCCUCACUCAAUUUUAAAACAUUUCAAGAUAUGCUGCUCCCUGGAAUCAUGUUCCUGGCUCCUGGUAGUCCCUGACUUUACCUGUCUGUUCCAGGAACCUGCUUUAAGGCCAUUUGUUCUGAUGAUCAGUUUGGACAACCACCCUUUAUUCCACCACCUCAGACCAUAUUCAACAUCCUGGAACCAUCAUAGCAGAAAUCUCAAGAAGUAUAUGCUUCUCUGAAGGUCACAUGCCUCACUGAUCUUGGAGGAUGGGUUGACUUCAAGUUCAUGUUCUUCUCUUUUACUAAAGUUGCAUUUAUUGGUCUUAGAUUAUCUGUCAAGAAGGAUGGGAAGGAAAAUUAAAAUGCAAGCUCCAAGAGGGUACACGCUGUUUUGUUCAUCAUUCUCCAAGUGUCUAGCGUAGCUUGAAGCAUAAAUAGGAAUUUAAUAAAUGCUUAUUGAAUGAAUGAAGGUCA